rnacentral:tRNA from 1 species
GGACACAAUGCCUUUAAUUAUUUAUUUUUAUGUGGCCCUGAGGAUCGAACCCAGUGCCUCACCUGUGCUAGGCGAGCACUCUACCACUUAGCCACAACCCUAGGUCCCCAUUCGGUCUUAAUACUUGGGCAUUCCCAUAGAAUAGGAGUGUGUCUCUAUUUUACAAUGAAGAAACAAAAGUUUUAGUCAUACAGUAAAGAAGCUGGUUUUCUUACUGUUAUCUUCCAGGUCAAGCUCAGGUUUUCAAUUAAUCGUCCUUUCAGGACUUCUGUGACAUUUAGAUUUUGCUUCCCAAAAGCAUUGUUUCCGAUGCAGCCAGUGAACAACUGUUGAACCAGGCUUUCUUUAAAUCAUCAACCUCAAAAUUUGAAGAAUAUGUCCAGUGUAGAUUAGUAUCUAUUACAUUUAUAUGAAAUUAUAGCAAAGGUCAUUAAGAGCAUCUUUAAAUGAUUUGAACCUCUCAGGUAGCACUUUUUUAACAUUUAUUUUUUAGUUUUAGUUGGACACAAUACCUUUAUUUUAUUAUUUUUAUGUGGUGCUGAGGAUCAAACUCAGGGCCUCGCACGUGCUAGGCGAGUGCUCUAUUGCUGAGCCACAACCCCAGCCUGCACUACUUUUUGGUAUAACUUCCCCAUUCCCUUUAUAAUAUGGAGUUCAUUUGAAAAUAUGGUAAGCUUUCAUGCAUUAUGAAAAUAAAAGGACUUAAUCAGAUGGUGUGUAUUGUAGCAAGUGGCUUUUGUUUGAAAAAUUUGGUUUUAAGGAUUAUUGAGAUCACAGCAACUAAAUCAGAAUUACAUUUGACUUAUUUUUACCAGGAGGAAAUGGAGGAUCUGAUUCAUCUAUAGUGUAUUUGGUAUCUGGUUACAUGAUGUUGAAAUGAUAGACUUAUAUCAGGAAGUUGUAAGUAAGAAUGAAUCAUAGCUUAGACAUCAGGAAUUGCUGUUAGGAGGAAUUUCCGGAAAUAGGAACUUAUUAUAUUCCAUGUUAUAUAUAGAAUGGACUGAGAUGCUAUGUCUGAAUACCUUUCCUGUUUAUUCAGUCAUACAUUCUUUCAAAGAUAUUUAUUGGGCAUAUAUUAUGUGCGAGACUGAGGCAAGCCCUCGUGUAGCUUACAGUUUCAGAUAUAAUGGAUUGUGUCUUCUAUAAGGUCAAAGGGCAGGGUUCAUGU